rnacentral:rRNA from 1 species
CAGCAGCCGCGGUAAGACAGAGGAUGCAAGCGUUAUCCGGAAUGAUUGGGCGUAAAGCGUCUGUAGGUGGCUUUUCAAGUCCGCCGUCAAAUCCCAGGGCUCAACCCUGGGCAGGCGGUGGAAACUACCAAGCUGGAGUACGGUAGGGGCAGAGGGAACUUCCGGUGGAGCGGUGAAAUGCGUUGAGAUCGGAAGGAACGCCCGUGGCGAAAGCGAGGUCCUGGACCCUUUCUGACGCUGAGGCGCGAAAGCGUGGGGAGCAAACAGGAUUAGAUACCCCCGUAGUCCCUGUCUCUUAUAC